rnacentral:rRNA from 1 species
GACGUAGGGCGCGAGCGUUGUCCGGAUUUAUUGGGCGUAAAGAGCGUGUAGGCGGCCAGGUAGGUCUGGUGUGAAAACUCGAGGCUUAACCUCGAGAUGUCAUCGGAAACCAUCUGGCUAGAGUCCGGAAGAGGAGAGUGGAAUUCCUGGUGCAGCGGUGAAAUGCGCAGAUAUCAGGAAGAACACCAAUGGCGAAAGCAGCUCUCUGGGACGGUACUGACGCUGAGACGCGAAAGCGUGGGGAGCGAACAGG